ensembl:lncRNA
UCUUCCCCAUCUUCUGUAUCCUCCUAUGGUACAAGAUCAACCCAGUCCAAAAAAGCUGGAGAGAGUAGGAGGCCUGCAAAAAGGAAACGGGAAGAUAUAAAGUCUGAAAAAGAGAAAACUGAAGAAGAGUCUGACAAAAAACUCCAGUGCAACUCUUCCUCAUCUUCAGACUCUGAGGACUCUAAUAGCACAACAAGAUGUUUGACAAGAUCGGUUCAAAAGAAGUUGGAGAAAGAUGGCAUGAUUGCUAAAAAUGAUGAGAGCAGUAAGAGGCAAAUGGGGAGGUCAGACAAGAAGGGUAAAACCACCAAUAAUACCACAGAAGGGGAGUCCAGUGGAGAAACGUGUUCAAGAGUAACCCGGAAAUCUACAGGCCCACAACCCAAUACUGUAGCCUCCCCUGAACCUGAGGUACUGGGCAAACGCUGCUCAGCCCUUAAUGCUGCCGCCAAGCUCUUGGCAAUGAGGGGAAGAGGACCAGACACACCCAGCCCCAGAAUUAAGACAGCAGCACAACAAAGCAAACCGCUGUCCUCUGAAAAAAGCAGUAAACCCAAGGGGAAAACAGGACAGGACUCUCCCAAGAUAUCUAACAGUAAAACAGGGAGUGGCAGGCAAACCCCCAAUCAGACAACUGAAUCACCACAGUCCUCUUCUUCUGCUCGAUCAACUCGGCAGCGACCAGGCAGUCUUGUUCCCCCUUUGGAAACAGAAAGGGUUAAAAAAGAAGAAAAGAAAAAAGCAUUUGAUCAGAAGGAAGAAGGCGAAGAUGAAAACAGAGAGACCAGGUCUUCAGGAGGUCACAGUGUCUGCAGUAGUAGAAGCAGCGAAAGAGGAGCAGGCAGCAGUAGAAGUCGGAGUAGCAGCAACAGCAGCCAGCGCACCCACAGUUUGAGCUCGCAGAGUACAGAGCCCACCCGCUCCCAUUCCAGGGCAGCAUCCUCUGGUAGUGAUACAGAGAGAGGCAAAAGUAUUCGGCGUAGGCGUGAUGGAGGCGGAGGCAGGGAGAGCAGGAAAGAGAAGAGGUCCCACAAGCAGGACAAAUCUGAAAUGAAUGCUGGAUCCAGCGACGGGACUCCAGACAGGGUUCUUAGGAGUGUAGCUGCAUUGGCAGCCGCUCAGGCACGUACUCCAGCUAGCAACACACGCUCUUCGUCCACCCAAAACCGGCACUCCAAGACGUGAUGGGGAGAACAAACGUUAUCUUUAGGUUUCAACAAGGAGUGAGACAACAACUUCAGCGAGGAGCGAAUGCAGAUUUUUUUUGUGAGGAAAGUGGAUCAGUUUCAUUAAAAGGCCAUGGUUUAGCUGAAUGAGAGAAGACGAGAGAAGAGAGAUCUGUUGCACAUUGUGAUUAGAUC